CCUUCUUCAACCACUGCCUCCCUUUCUGGCCAUCUUCGGCGAUCACCUUUCAACCCCAAGCCUCCAAUAGUUUCCCCCUUGCUUUGCUCAUCAUCUCUGAGGCCUUCAAAGGCCCUGGGCCAUGCCAACUUGUGUCUAGGGUUGUUGUUUUAGUUGUUAAUGAAUUCUCUGGUGUGAUUUUGGGCGAAAUCAUACAAUAUUUGCUACGAACUUUGAAGAUUAUAACAGGUUCUUCCGUUUCUAUUUGGGUUUCCUUUAAAACCCUAGAUUUUAUUUGAAUCUCUUAGAUCUAUGCUAUUUUUAACAAUUUAAAUCUGUUUCUUUCUAUGUUUUACACUGUUCUCAAACUUCUUUUGAAAAGUCAUCAACUUUACGCCGUUUUACUUUCUUUAAAAUUAGGGUUUUUGGAAGUUUCUUCUACCUUGUUUAAACUGAUUUUUAUUUAUGUUUAAACCUAUUUUCUUGCUUAUCUUGACUGAUUUUUAUGUUCUUACUACUUUUUAACUCGCCUAUGUUAAAAAGUCGUAAUUUUUAAGAUCUUCUUUGCUUUGGUUCUGUAAGUUAGCCUGCCUAUUUGCUUCUUGUUAAGCUUCUGUGGUUACCAUGUAUUGAAUGGGUUUUUAACUAAGUCUUUAGCCUACGUAUAUCACCUCUGUGUGAUUGUAUUCAUUUGGAUUUGUCAUCUCUUGCCUCUUUCUCUCAAUAAUGCUGACCUUGCCAUUUUGCUAAGACUGUUUGUCCUUCUCUAUUUAUAUGUUAAUGUAUAGAACCAUAACUCUCUCUUGAUUUGAUUCUGAUUUACUUAUUUGAUGGUUUGAUUGAAAAGUUUUCUUGAAAAAC
rnacentral:lncRNA from 1 species